CUAUAAAGCCAAGGGUGAGUGAAUUGGGAUACAAGAAGCCUAUUUUGCCAUCAGACAGUCUGGGAGCUGGUUUUUACCCUGUACAAGAAUUCUGCAGGAUGUCAGCCAAGAUAAACGGUGAUCUAACGCCAUCAGGACUCAUAAACAUGAUUGAUACAUUUGACAGACCAGAGGACGCCAGAGCUGAAGGUCUAUAUGCCUCAGCCGGCAGCUAUGAAGAAGGAGGUUUCACCGACAAGCCGAUGCAACGGAUCCCGAAAGCUGGAGUCUAUGCUUAUGCGGGAGUGGGGCACGCGAAGGCUGAGUAUAGCGUGUUCGAGGCGGAAGCGAAUGGGCCAAACGCUUCAGCGGGGGCUGGCGCAUCUGUGACUGGGGUAAACGCAAUGGCCAGAGCUGAGUUGGCCAGCGCUUCGGCGACCGCUGGCCCACUGAAGGUGAAGGCUGGCCUGGGGGUCGACACUGGAGUGAGUGCUGGUGUGGAUGGAGUGGAGGCGAAGUUUCUAGGCACCGGUGUAAGAAUUGGACCAAAGCCUGCAAUAUCCCUGCUGGGAUCUGAGGUAGAAUGCUCCAUUAUGUGACUGUCCUUAUAAGAACGACACACAUCUUUCUGACAUCACAUCGUGUGGUCCUUCAUGUUAUUUCAUUUCUGCUGUCUUCUGCUUUUUGUAGCUUUUUGUAACUUUUUAAUUACAGAAAUAAAAAUUGUAAGUGCAUUUCCUAUUUCAUAAAAAAAAAAAUUUUUAAUCUACUUUUAUAUAGCACAAAUAUGCGGGGCAGCCUGUAGCCUAGUCGUUAAGGUGCAUGAGUGGGACCUAGAAGGUUGGUGGUUAUAUCCCCAGUGUAGCCACCAUAAGAUCCGCACAGCUGUUGGGCCCUUGAGCAAGGCCCCUUAGCCCUGCAUUGCUGCAGGGGGGAUUGUCCCCGGCUUAGUCUAAUCAACUGUAAGUAACUUUGGAUAAAAGCUUUAGCUAAAUAAAAUGUUGGAGAACUUGCCAUAGUUCUUCUGCAGACUUUGGUUGGUUUGUUGCUUCUGAUCUCAGACAGCCAUGAUCAAGUUUUUAUGUAAAAAGUAAUCAAUUGCAUAAGUAAUGUUAUUUUUUAUUAAAUACAAAAAUGUCUCUGUAAAUUAAAUCUUUUGUAAAAUGAAUAUUUGGAAAUAGAUUUUUCAAAAAAAUAAAUAAAUAAAAAAUAAUAUAUGUA